rnacentral:rRNA from 1 species
AACGAACGCUGGCGGCAUGCCUAACACAUGCAAGUCGAACGAAGUCUUCGGACUUAGUGGCGCACGGGUGCGUAACGCGUGGGAAUCUGCCCUUGGGUUCGGAAUAACAGUGAGAAAUUACUGCUAAUACCGGAUGAUGACUUCGGUCCAAAGAGUUUAAUCGCCCAAGGAUGAGCCCGCGUAAGAUUAGCUAGUUGGUGAGGUAAAGGCUCACCAAGGCGACGAUCUUUAGCUGGUCUGAGAGGAUGAUCAGCCACACUGGGACUGAGACACGGCCCAGACUCCUACGGGAGGCAGCA